UACGUAGGGUGCAAGCGUUAAUCGGAAUUACUGGGCGUAAAGCGUGCGCAGGCGGUGAUGUAAGACAGAUGUGAAAUCCCCGGGCUCAACCUGGGAACUGCAUUUGUGACUGCAUCGCUGGAGUACGGCAGAGGGGGAUGGAAUUCCGCGUGUAGCAGUGAAAUGCGUAGAUAUGCGGAGGAACACCGAUGGCGAAGGCAAUCCCCUGGGCCUGUACUGACGCUCAUGCACGCAAGCGUGGGGAGCAAACAGG
rnacentral:rRNA from 1 species